AUUGAACGCUGGCGGCAGGCCUAACACAUGCAAGUCGAGCGAGCGGCGGACGGGUGAGUAAUGUCUGGGAAACUGCCUGGUGGAGGGGGAUAACUACUGGAAACGGUAGCUAAUACCGCAUACCAUCAGAUGUGCCCAGAUGGGAUUAGCUUGUUGGUGGGGUAAGGGCUCACCAAGGCGACGAUCCCUAGCUGGUCUGAGAGGAUGACCAGCCACACUGGAACUGAGACACGGUCCAGACUCCUACGGGAGGCAGCAGUGGGGAAUAUUGCACAAUGGGCGCAAGCCUGAUGCAGCCAUGCCGCGUGUGUGAAGAAGGCCGUCGGGUUGUAAAGCACUUUCAGCGGGGAGGCGUUACUCGCAGAAGAAGCACCGGCUAACUCCGUGCCAGCAGCCGCGGUAAUAC
rnacentral:rRNA from 1 species